UACGGAGGGAGCUAGCGUUGUUCGGAAUUACUGGGCGUAAAGCGCACGUAGGUGGCUUUGUAAGUUAGAGGUGAAAGCCCGGGGCUCAACCCCGGAAUUGCCUUUAAGACUGCAUCGCUUGAAUCCGGGAGAGGUGAGUGGAAUUCCGAGUGUAGAGGUGAAAUUCGUAGAUAUUCGGAAGAACACCAGUGGCGAAGGCGGCUGCCUGGCCGUGUAACUGACGCUGAGACGCGAAAGCGUGGGGAGCGAACCGG
rnacentral:rRNA from 1 species